AGAGUUUGAUCCUGGCUCAGGAUGAACGCUAGCGGCAGGCUUAACACAUGCAAGUCGAGGGGCAGCGAGGGUAGCAAUACCUGUCGGCGACCGGCGCAAGGGUGCGUAACGCGUGAGCAACAUGCCCGUAUCAGGGGGAUAAUCCAGGGAAACUUGGUCUAAUACCCCAUAGUAAAUAUUGGAGGCAUCUUCGAUAUUUUAAAGCUUUGGUGGAUACGGAUUGGCUCGCGUGACAUUAGCUAGAUGGUGGGGUAACGGCUCACCAUGGCUACGAUGUCUAGGGGUUCUGAGAGGAAGGUCCCCCACACUGGUACUGAGACACGGACCAGACUCCUACGGGAGGCAGCAGUGAGGAAUAUUGGACAAUGGAUGGAAAUCUGAUCCAGCCAUGCCGCGUGCAGGAAGACGGCCCUAUGGGUUGUAAACUGCUUUUGUAUGGGAGCAAUAAGGACUACGUGUAGUUUGAUGAGAGUACCAUACGAAUAAGCAUCGGCUAACUCCGUGCCAGCAGCCGCGGUAAUACGGAGGAUGCGAGCGUUAUCCGGAUUUAUUGGGUUUAAAGGGUGCGUAGGCGGCGAUAUAAGUCAGUGGUGAAAUAUUUCGGCUUAACCGAGAGACUGCCAUUGAUACUGUGUUGCUAGAAUAUGGUUGCUGUGAGUGGAAUGUGUGGUGUAGCGGUGAAAUGCUUAGAUAUCACACAGAAUAUCGAUUGCGAAGGCAGCUCACAAAGCCAUUAUUGACGCUGAGGCACGAAAGUGUGGGGAUCAAACAGGAUUAGAUACCCUGGUAGUCCACACUGUAAACGAUGAUAACUCGCUGUCGGCGAUAGACAGUCGGUGGCCAAGCGAAAGCGAUAAGUUAUCCACCUGGGGAGUACGACCGCAAGGUU
rnacentral:rRNA from 1 species